GACGAACGCUGGCGGCGUGCUUAACACAUGCAAGUUGAACGGUAUGACAUGGAAGCUUGCUGAAGUGUCAUAUAGUAGCGGACGGGUGAGUAAUGCGUGAGAAGCUGCCAUUGGGAGGGGGACAACAGUUGGAAACGGCUGCUAAUACCCCGUAUGCCGGAAGGUGAAAGGGAGAAAUCCGCCUGAUGAGGUGCUCAUGUCCUAUUAGCUGGUUGGUGGGGUAACGGCCUACCAAGGCGACGACGGGUAGCCGGCCUGAGAGGGUGAACGGCCACACUGGAACUGAGAUACGGUCCAGACUGCUGCGGGGGGCAGCAGUGGGGAAUAUUGGGCAAUGGGGGCAACCCUGACCGAGCGACGCCGCGGGAGGGAAGACGGCCUUCGGGUUGUAAACCUCUUUUGUACGGGAAGAAGGAAGUGACGGUACUGUACGAAUAAGUCCCGGCUAACUACGUGCCAGCCGCCGCCGUAA
rnacentral:rRNA from 1 species